rnacentral:snRNA from 1 species
CGCGUAUCGGCAUGAUCGG